UUUUAGACUCCCCAAUCGCCUCCAUCUCUAUUCUCGUUCUCUACUCUGAACCCUUCCCCCCCUCUCUCUCUCUUUCUCUCUCUCUCCCCAACUGCAAACUACAAAAUCUACAAAAAUCAAUUCAAAACCCAUAUAUUUCAGUUAAUCUCUCUUUCUGCAAGAAUCAAAAGUUGAAAACCUAUUACCUAAAUCAAAACCCCCAUAUCGGCAUAUCAUUUCAGAUAGUUCCAAAAAUCAAAACCCAUAUCUUUCAGUUUCCAUCGCUCGUUGUUCCAGUUCAGGUUCGUCUUUCGCAAGCUUCAACUUGCCCCCCUCUCUUUCUCUGCAACUGCUAACUUGUAUGUAUGUGUUUUGUUUUAAUUUUUUUUUCUAAAUCAACUAACAAAGCUCUGUAAUUCUUGUUUUGCAAACUAAAAUUAAGCGUAAUCUUGAUUUUGUGUUAGGGUAAAUUUGGCAUCAGAAAUAAUACAUCUCGCGAAUUACUUCUGAAUAAAUUAACAAAUCAUAUGUAAGAACCGUAGCAUUUCGUGAUUCAUUGGUAAAUCUACUUUGAUUCUCUAUCAACCAGUUAUGUGGGACUCUUAAACAUGGUUAAAGCUAAGCCGUUUGAAGUCUAAACGCAGCAUGGUACUCUUUCUAUCACUAUGUUAAUACAGAGAGGUUUCAAAAUGAAUAUUUUUUUGGUCUCCUUCCAUUUUUUUUUCCAUUUCCUCCCAUAUUUAUGAGAGGAUAAGAAAAUUACUGUUUAUGCCUUGAGCUACCCUUUCAAAACCAUCCCUUUCCUGCCGACCAUUUAUGCCAAAUACAAAAUUUUAACCACCCACCGUCACCUUUCAUUCCCUUUCUUUUCUCACCUUCCAUCACCUUACCUUUCCUUUUCUUUCCUCCCUUUUCCAUUGCACCAAACUGACCUAACCCUAGCUGCGCGUAGAUAGUAGAGUCCUGCCGACAAGUUGCUCUUCCACAUCGGCGAAGACUAGUCUCUCCCUCUCCCUCUCCCUCGCUAGUCUCUAUCUAUAUCUUCGCCAUAUUUCCCGCGAUCUCGCACCUCUCCAUUUGGAUGACUGAACGAGAAGUGAAUUCUGAAGCAAUGAUCAAAUUGGUGGAGGUGCUACCAAAUUUCCCAAUCACAAGUGGGAAAAAAAAAAAAAAAUCCCAAUUGCAAAAAAGGUAGAAGUUUAUUGGAUUGGGCGGUGUCGGUAAAAAAAACAGCUGAGUCUUGGGGAAGCUAUUUUGGUAGGAUCUUCGGGCGCUUCACAGGUGAAGCUGUUGUUGCUCCUGUUGAAGAUGUUGCAGAUAAAGCUGCUCCUGCUUAAUUUGUUGCAUAAUUUAUCUCAAGAUCUAGACUUUUGUUUGUCUUCCCAUUUAAGGGUAAUCUCGCCAUUAAGAUGUAUAUUCUUCCUUUUUGCAAACAAAACACUCUAGACUUUUGUUUAUCUCCCCCAUUUAAGGGUAAUCUCGCCAUUAAGAUGUAUAUUCUUCCUUUUUGCAAUCAAAACGGCUGCGUUUUCUAUAUAAGUUUUCUGUUUCUUUA